ensembl:antisense 4930556I23Rik RIKEN cDNA 4930556I23 gene
ACCAGCCCACACAGGCAAAGAAGAGGCAGCUAGCUCCAUCACGGGGUCCACAAGCUGACGUACUGCCUUUGCGCAUGUCAGCCGUCACGAUGUCUCAAAUAGAUUACCUCCUCUGGUCUGAGCCGCCAAAACCACAAGAUGCAGCUGCCACCCCAACCUGUGCACUUUGGAGCUAAUUUCUACCAGGGCCUUCUCUCUGGGAGGAGCUGGAAUGUAUGCACAGAUAGGAUGCCUUUGAUAAGAGUCUACAUUUGGGACCAGCCACCCGCCCCCACUCCGGAUUUAAUUGACGCGCUAAAAACAUUCCCUUUGUGGGACGUGAUGCCAUUUCUACAACCAUCUGUCUUCACCUGACACAGGAAGUUGGGGCCUGCAUGGUUAACACCGGCUGUUUUUCUUCUCCUGCUCUACAUUCUUUUAAAGGGCCCUCUUUGCCCUCUCCUGCCAUUUCUUCACUUAGUGACCAGGAGCUCCCGCAGAACUCUUCCUGUGUCUCACCCUCACUCCCAUCCCUAUCCCAGAGGCAGCUGCUCUCUUCGAAACAGACGGAACAUUUUCUCAGG